GGCCAUCAGAAAACUGUCAAGCAUCCGAGACAGACAGUGGGUCAGAGGAUGCAGACGAUACUCCCCACGCGCGUUGACUCAGCGUCACCCGAAACUCUCCAGCUCGGUGCAAAGGAAAGCGAGACUUAAAGACGCGCCGUCUGCCUCGCCCAGAAGUUACUUCGCUCUCCGGCUUUCCUCUUUUUAUUCCACACACACACACACACACACACCCCUCCCACAGUCACGGAACCCGGAAGUUUGUAUGUGAGCGCGUCUCUUUCUGCGUGGUGGUUGGCGUUUCGUUUCGUUUCUUUCUUUUUUUUUAAUUUCUAUCACAUGGCAGCGUGCGAGAGAGAUACAAUAAAAACAGAAAAAUGGCGACAGUCACGUUGUGGCGACUCUGUGCUGCGUCAUUAGAUAAUCUUCGCGCAAAGAAAGCUAAAGAACAAAGACGAGAGAGCGAGGGGGGGAAAAGCAGCGCGUCUGGAAAAGUUGAGAUGAAGUGCUAACCCACCCAUUCUGGAAUCCGCAAAGGGCUGUAUACAGCAGUGAAGAUGUGAAGAUGCCUUAUGCCUUUUUCUGAGGAAUGCAGCUCCUAAUGUUGCCAGCCUCAAAUCUAAUUUUCCAGGAACUUCCCUCAAUUCUAUCUGAAGAUCCACCACCAACCGGAUAUGAAAUUAAUGCAUCUAAAAAAAGUAGGUUAAAAUGAUGUGUUUCAUUGAAGAGCAAAAAUCUGCAUCCAGUCUAAAUGUUACAGUCUAUUUUAAACUGUGGAAUGCUAUUUCCGAGCAGAGGAAAACCAUAACCUCAUCUUGUUAGAAUUAUUUCCCCAACAUGUCAGCAUCGUCUGAAGAAUUCAGAAUUUAUAUGCACAUUCCUAAGCAAUAACACUUUUUCAUUUGGAUGGUGGAGAAUGGCCAGCUGUCUGCAAGGAAUAUGAAUCCUUCCAUUCCCCACCAUCCUGUCAGAGCUGAAGAAACUUCUUGGAUGAGAAGUGAAACGUCUUCAAAAGAAAAAAACAAGAAAAUCCAGUUGCCUCUUGAAAAAGCACCUUUGGGACAACCAUGAGCUGGAUGACUGAGAAUCUUCAUAGAUUUUUAGCUUUGAACUUUGGGAUGAACAUCCUUCGAAUGGUAUGGGAGUAUGAAUGGAUUUCCAGAAAAAUCGCAGACUACAUGAGCCAUUUGCACUUCAGUUUGAGAUACAGACAACACAGACUUAUCCCCAAUAGCUUCUGCCUGUCCUCAACAGUGAAGGGACACAGGGCAGAAAACAUCCUGUAGCCAAGAAGGCUCCACACUGAUUUGCACUGAUCCUGAGGACACAGAUAAACCUCAAUGAAAGCAUGCAGAUGACCAGCUGUCUACAAGGAAUACACAUCUUUCCAUUCUCCACCAUCCUAUCAAAGCUGAAGAAGUUUCUUGAAUGAGAAACAAAAUGUCUUCAAAAGAAAAACCAAAGUCCAGUUGCCUCCUGUAAAAGCACCUUUGGUGCUGAAUAGGUAGAAACAGUCUUUUAUGAAUAGUAAAGGCAACUGGACUUCUUGGGGGUUUUUUUCUUUGAAAAUGUUUCUCUUCUCAUCCAAGAAGCUUCUUCAGUGAACUGAAGAAGUUCUUGGAUAAGAAGUGAAACUUUUAAAAAACAACAACAAGGAAAUCCAAUUGCCUUUUGAAAAGAAAACAACUUCAGGACAGCAAUGAUUGGAUGAUUGAUAAUCCCGAUAGAUAUGGUCUCCUUUUAGGUGAAAAACUGACUUAAAAUCAAUAAAAGUUGUAAAAAUGGUUUAAGGGUUAGGCACGUAUUGGCACAAUAAUAAUUCCACUUCUGUACAGAAGUCACAUCAAAGAUCUUACAAAGAUUUAAUAUUCAUUCAAGUAAACAUGAUUAUACAAUUGAUUCCAUCUGUCUCUCUACAGCUACUGGUUGUCAAAUGUCAGAAAAAUCUAAGUUUUAGGUAUAUUUACAUAUACUUUAGUGAGGGCAUCAGUCUUUGUAAUGCACACCGCAAAUACAAUUUCUAAUGAUUUGUUAAUAAUCCAUUUGUUUGUUUUCUUGGCUAUCCGUAUUGACCUUCACUUGGGUGUUUUGCCCACAGACUGUAUGGGAAGAUAAAUAAGGGAAAUCCCUGCCUCUAGUUUAUUUUCACAUGUUGAUUUUGUUUGGAGCCUUUACAUGUCUGUCUCUGUUUGCAUUAAUAUGGGUUUUUGGGGCAGAUGAACAUGAGUUUACACAAAUAAAUUACAGGUAGUCCUCAACUUACAAGCACAACUGAAACCAGAAUCUUUGGUUGUUGAGCAAAGUGGUCAUUGAGCAUCCAUCCUGAAAUGCAAGCAGGAUUUUGGCAUGGAGUAUUUGCAGCACGGAGUGUUGGCAGCCAGCUUCCCCCCCCCCCCCCGGGCAAAACAAAGAAGACACUCUCAUUUCUGGGAGCAUGAUGUAAAUGUCCGGUGCUGUAAAAACAUACUUUUGAAUGGCCGCUGAAUGAAUGGUUGUAAAAGGGAGGACAACUUAUAGUUAAUCCUGCCAGGUGCUAAUUAAUCAAUUCAAUGGGUUGUCUCCGUUUUUUUUGUCCUAACUUUUUUUUUAAAGCAAUUUGUCAGAUAUGUUUUCAUCUCAUUAGUGCCCUCUUGUGAUUUUCUUUAAAAA